GAAAGGCUGAGCGAGGCCUGCAAGGACCCUCCCAGCUCUGAGCGCCUUCCAGGCAUGGAUCCGUGAAACCACAUCAACGAGAGGAGCAAGAGGCGGUAUUUGUUGAGCAUGGCCUGGGUGCGUUUCAGCAGCUGCGUGGAGACCGUCUCGAACUCCUCGUCCACUGCGGAGGAAGAGAAGAGGUCCAGAGGCAGAGGUUGGGGGCGGACAGGCAAAGCGAGGUACCUCACCGCCCCCCUCCACACAGCAGAUGAGAAAGCCGAGGCCUGGAGAGGUGCAGUGCCCUGACCCAAAGCACACACAGUGAGGAAGAGGCAGAGCUGAGAGUCAGAUGCCAGAGCCUGAAACUCAUCCUCCAUGCUAUACUGUCGCCGGCCACCGGGGGUCAGCAUGGCCCCGCGCUGCCUGGGACCCGACAGCAACCUUGGGGAGGGGUGGAGGGAGGUUGGUGGGUUGAUUGGCUGGGAGGUAAAAUCCUGUUCUGUCACCAGGCUUUGUACCCUAGCGCAUAUUACAGUGAAUUAUGCCUCUUUACUGUGUGACGGUCACCCCCACCAGACAUGCUGGUCCCCACCUAUGCUGAAGAUCAGAGGACCCCACACACGACAGGGGUAGGACUUGGUCUGUCUUGUAUUUCCAGAACCCAGCACUAAUCAACACUCUUGGUGGAAGGAUGGCAGAAGAGAGGGAGAGAACGCAUGCAAGCAUCCAACAUUUACCCAUCCCCCUCCCACCCAUGCCACCAAGGGCUGACUGCCCAGCCCUUUCUGAGGUGCUGAGGACGCAGCAGUGACCAAGCCACACCAAUCCCUCCGGCUUGAAGCUGGCAGCCCAGCGGUGCCACAUGAAUGCUCUUAACAGUCUCUUCGAAUCCUCACCCGUCAGCCUAUUAUCACUAUUACAACCCACUUUCCGGAGGGGGAAACUGAGGGUACGGGAGGGAAACAGCACUGCCUGAAGCCACAGGGCUAACAGGAGGUAGAGUGGGGAUUUGCACUAGGGCCUGCCUAAACCCUCUCCUAAAGAGUGGUCCCC